rnacentral:rRNA from 1 species
UACGUAGGUGGCAAGCGUUGUCCGGAUUUACUGGGCGUAAAGAGCGCGCAGGCGGUCGUUCAAGUCGAGUGUGAAAGCCCCCGGCUCAACUGGGGAGGGUCACUCGAUACUGAUCGACUUGAAGGCAGGAGAGGGAAGCGGAAUUCCCGGUGUAGUGGUGAAAUGCGUAGAUAUCGGGAGGAACACCAGUGGCGAAGGCGGCUCACUGGACCGGAACUGACGCUGAGGCGCGAAAGCGUGGGGAGCAAACAGG